rnacentral:rRNA from 1 species
UACGGGGGGGGCAAGCGUUGUUCGGAAUUACUGGGCGUAAAGGGUUCGUAGGUGGCCAACUAAGUCAUACGUGAAAUCCCUCAGCUCAACUGAGGAACUGCCUUUGAAACUGUCUGGCUUGAGGCCGGGAGGGGGUAGCGGAAUUCCCAGUGUAGCGGUGAAAUGCGUAGAUAUUGGGAGGAACACCAGUGGCGAAGGCGGCUACCUGGACCGGUUCUGACGCUGAUGCGCGAAAGCGUGGGUAGCAAACAGG